AGGGAAUUUUCGGCAAUGGGGGAAACCCUGACCGAGCAACGCCGCGUGAGGGAUGAAGGUUUUCGGAUCGUAAACCUCUGUCUUUGAGGACGAUAAUGACGGUACUCAAGGAGGAAGCCCCGGCUAACUACGUGCCAGCAGCCGCGGUAAUACGUAGGGGGCGAGCGUUGUCCGGAAUUACUGGGCGUAAAGGGCGUGUAGGCGGCCUGGUAAGUCAGGCGUGAAAACCCCGGGCUUAACCUGGGGAUUGCGUUUGAAACUGGCGGGCUUGAGGGCAGGAGAGGAAAGUGGAAUUCCCGGUGUAGCGGUGAUAUGCGUAGAUACCGGGAGGAACACCAGUGGCGAAGGCGGCUUUCUGGACUGCACCUGACGCUGAGGCGCGAAAGCCAGGGGAGCGAAC
rnacentral:rRNA from 1 species